GACAACAUUAAAAUUUUAAUAAAAAUGCGGACGAACAACAUUAUAGGUUUAGUGUUCAGGAUGGAACAUUGUGAUCGAAGGAAUGAGGAUGUACGGAUUAUUGGAGUCAUCUCUUUACAACAAGGGGUGAUAUUAUGCCUACAAUGAGAAGGCACCACCUCGGAAAAUAGAAAUUGAAUUCCUCAAAGUGCGAUAGAAGGAUCCAGCGAUAUAAGGUACAUGACAAUUGAAUAACACAACAACUGCAGUAACAUAGACAAAAUCAAGUUCGACAACUCACUGAAUGACGUGUGACGCUCACGAUAACUAUUCAUAAUCUCUCCUGAAACAGAAUUUAAUACUCAGACAUACUCGUAUUUUCUGUAACAGCUUUGUGGGAGUCAACUUCCAGGCUUUGAUCGCCUUGUGCAAAGAGCCAACCCAGAAACCUUGUCAAUCAACCCAGGGCCGUGUCCUGGUUGCUAUUGAGUAUCGAGUACAACCCUGGAGCAAGCUGAAUUCAUUUCUUCCUACAUGUUCAGGGUAUCUCGCUUGAAAGCAUCCUCUCGAACUGCUAAAGUAAAUAAGUUAGACAUAUAAACAACAUGGAACCACUAAUUUCAGAAUUAUUUCUACUGAUUCUCCCACGAGUUAAGAACAUGGUGCAUAAGAAAGCAAGUAGGCACGAAAUCUAUUAUCAAUUGCGAAAUCAGGGAGAUCAUGUCAAAACAGAUGUACCAUGAUGAAAAAAAUGCAAAUAGAUCAGAGGCAUGAGUAGUACAACCGGUUAAAAAAUGUCGACAACAUGUAGCAUGGCAAGGUAAAACAGAACUGCAUCAGACCAUCAUUACAUUACAUAGUGAGGUGUAGACAACCAAUAACGUUAAACUAGUUUGUCAUUGUCAAUCUCAAUCACUUCAGAGUAUCAUCAACUCAAUACCGAUAGCUAUCUUCAUACUCUAAACUCUAAAGACAUAAGAAUAUAACCUCAAGCAAGAGUUGGUCAACAAACAUCCACUUAGUGUAGAAUUACUGUUCACAUAGAUGCACAGCACCUGGCUGUAGUUCUCUCAUAAAUCAGAGAAUUGGGCAGUGCCACACACACAACUAUGGCAGAAUUCAUCUUUAGCCGUAACGAAAAGCAAUGCCAACUUGGGCAGAGCUGCUAUGCUCCUGGUUAAAUAAAGUGCACUAACUGACUUAACACUAGGAAUAUACCCAAGGUACAAGACUUGGUCAACAAACCAAGCAACUAAGCAUUAAGGACACAUCACAAACUCAUGAACUGCUCAUAUGCAGAACACAUAUGCACCGCACCUACACAUGAUUAGUGCAGAAAUACUAUUCACAAAGAUGCACCGCAGCUGCACGGCUACACCAAUCAAAUUGUGCACAUGGGUGCUAUGGGAGCACACAUGUAUACUAAAUCAUCAGGGAAUAAACCAUUUACACAGAUCAGAUGCAUCAGAAGAAAAACACUAACAAUCAUGUUUAGGUAUAUAUAGCAACAGUUGCAUGAUUUACGGGUAACCAGGUAUAGUAGAAAGACUAUGUUUAACUGGAAAACUAUUAUAGUUAGCAGGCCAACAUUAACUAAAUCCUGUUGAACAGUAGAAGAGGUAGCAGAUUAUACAGAGAAGAGUAGGAGGACCAGGAAUUCACAUUUGACGGUUGUAGCCGAG
rnacentral:lncRNA from 1 species